GCCCUCCAAAAAUAAAUAAAAUUGCACUCCAUAUACUCUUUUUGGUCCAACUAGUUUUCUUUAGAUUCUGAAGAACCCCUCUGUAAAUCUAGCUUUGUGUUUACUCAGUUUGCCUUGUCAAUUAAAACUAUGUUAUCUGCAAACAACAUACACCAUGUGAUCACUUUUUGCAAAUGCCUUGUUUACUCAUCCAUACCCAAUGCAUAAAGAUACGGGCUUAAUGCCAACCCCUGGUGCAUGCCUACAGUAAUUGAGAACCCCUUUCUCUCCACUAAUGCUCUUCACAUUUGUUACUGCUCCUUACAUAUCGUGGUAUUGAACUUAUGAGCCACAAUAUGAAACUUUGGAAAAGAGUGGAGUAAAGACUAAGGUAUUGAGACGAAUGUAUCAGAAAAUCAAUUUGGUUUCCUGUUAGGGAGGUUUACCAUUGAAGCUGUCUUCCCACUUAGACAAUUGAUGGAGAAAUAUAGGCAAAGGAGGUAAGAUCUCCACAUGGUCUUUAUUGACGUAGAGAAAGCUUAUGAUAGGGCCCCCAUAGAGUUAAUAUGGUGGGUGCUGGGAAAGAAUGGAGUUUCAAGAGGAUAUGUUGACGUGAUUAACAAAUUGAUUUAUCAUCUAUCUAAAUCGGGAACCAUGAUUUGAACUAUGUAAUUAAUCUGCCUUUCAACCGUCACACUGCUAGAGUAUCAAAGUUUCUCUUAUUUUUGUUGAGGAGCAUGUAAUUCCUCUUGUAAUAUAGUGCUAAUGAGCCGCAUCGGGUUAUUUACUCACAUACACAGAUGAUUACUGAUACGUACCCAUCUACAAGCUAUUUUUGAAUGGAAGGGCAAAAGUAAAACUGUAACUGAGUAAAUAUUAUUAUCAGGUUUCCCUUGUUCAGUUUACUGGCUUUCUGCUGCCCUGCUACGUGAUGGCAUGUGCACUAGAUAUUUUACAGAUCCGGAGGAGGAGACAGGGCUAAAAGCCAUCGAAUCUCUACGGUUCUGCUCUUCCAGAUCACAGGCGAGCUUCAUGCGAUUAACGAACACAGGCUUUGAAUAUCAUGUUUUUCUGUAAGUUGUAUAUAAAAUCAAUGUGCCAAAACCGUCUUGGAGCUUCUCAUGUGAUUAAAUUGGCAUGUAGAUUCUUCUUAAGCUUUUACCCAAAAAGCAAAAAAGAAAAAAAAUUGUAAAUGUGGGAAUAGAUGAAAUGGUUAUUGGCUGUAAUUUCUCUAAAUCAUGGAAGUAGGCCAGGAAAAUCUUGCCUUUUAAAAUUUGCCUCGUGUUCGCAUCGAUACCUUUGCCCUUGUUCUUAGUUCUUAUGUUACAAAAAAUGCUGGCAAUCUGUAGGCCUGUCUGGUUGUCACGCAAAGAAGGAUUUCAUCUCAUUUUAGUCAACAGUAAUUAUGGAUUGGAGAUCAUAAUUUAUCGAAAUUAUUGGGCUAUUAAGAUAAUUUUUAAUCAAUGCUGAAAUCUCAAGCACAUAAUUACCGUUAACUAAAAUGAGAUGAGCUCAUUUUUAAGUGGCAACCAAACAGGGCCUUAGGUUUGUUUUAAGCUGCAGAUUCCACUCUUUUAUUUCAUAAAAGGCUUUUUAAGAUGUAUCUUUUGGAUUUGAUACAGUUUUUCGCUCAGUGCAGACUCUUUUGAUGGGGUGCAGCUUUUGGUUCACUCUCGUUGCCCAAGGGUUCAUCUUGUCAGACCAUCUUAGCUGGACCCUCAGAAUUUUGGCUGCAGAUUUCAAUCCAUUAAAAUUUGGGUUGGUUGUGGGUUGGGUCCAAGUCUAAAAAGCUGACCCAUUCAUUUGAUGGGUUGGGUCAGGGUGUAGGACCCGGAUACAACCAUUUCAUCUCAUGGGUUGGGCCUGGGCAAUGGGUUUUCAGAUAAAUAAUGUUCCAACAGAAUUACUCUUAAAUUUUGGCUUGGGUGUGGGUCGGAUUAAAA